rnacentral:rRNA from 1 species
ACAUAUAGAUGAAUAAAAUAUAAUUGACUCGUCUGAUCUCAGAAGCUAAGCAGAGUCGGGCCUUGUUAGUACUUAGAUGGGAGACCACCUAGGAAUACCAGGUGCUAUAGGCG